UACGUAGGGUCCGAGCGUUGUCCGGAAUUACUGGGCGUAAAGAGCUCGUAGGUGGUUUGUCACGUUGUUCGUGAAAACCCACAGCUCAACUGUGGGCGUGCGAGCGAUACGGGCAGACUAGAGUACUGCAGGGGAGACUGGAAUUCCUGGUGUAGCGGUGGAAUGCGCAGAUAUCAGGAGGAACACCGGUGGCGAAAGCGGGUCUCUGGGCAUUAACUGACGCUGAGGAGCGAAAGCAUGGGGAGCGAACAGG
rnacentral:rRNA from 1 species